GUCCCAGGUGCACUCCUUGCGGCUCGGGUACUUGUCGGGCCAGUUGGGGCUGCUCAGGCUGCCGCUGGGACUGUGGAUCUUGUGCUCACACUCGGCUGAACACACACACGGAGAGGAAGUUAAAAUCAGCGCUGCACAGGAAAAGGUCAACGAAAAUGCCCUCUCACCCAAGAGAGGAGCCUUCCUCCAGUACCCGUCGCGCACCUCCAGGUAGUCGUACCAACACAGGCUGCUCUUGUACAGGUCCAUGGUGGUGAAGUUCAGCACGAUCUGUGCUCUGGCGACAAGUGAAGGUUGCAAACACUUCAAGACGCUGUCGUCCCGCUGCUUCAUCAAACAAUCCCUUCCUCAGCAGCACGAACGCGCGCACACGCACAGAGAAACUCGCCGAACACUUAAACACUUAAAAGCGAGCCGUGUGAUUGGCGGGAUGUGGAAACGGGAGCAGGACGGGAAGGAAAGCGGAGCCAUUGUUGAGUGAGCGUAUCGUCUCACGCUGCGACAAGCACUGCGAGGACACUGUGGGGUUGAGGACAGAAUGAGGCAGCGUUAGGAAGAUUUCCAUAAGGCAGAGAAAGAAGCUGACAUAAGAACAAGAAGAUGAAGGAAGAAGCACAGUUUGCACCGAACGGAUUCGAGUUGUGGCGUUGAUGAAUCAAUAUUGUUGCUGUGAAUAGCACAAAGUCAAGUGUGUGCAUGGAGGAGGUGAGCAUCCCGGAGGACGCGUAUUGAUCCCAUCGGCCGCAUGCGGCGAUGCUGACCGACACGUGACACGAUGCUUUGCCCUUUACACAUGUAUGGCGGAAUGCGCAGGUGUCAAACUCGAGCCCCGGGGGCUAAAUGUGCCCAGCCGCAUGAGUUCAUGUGGCGCGCAAAGGCAAAUCGUGUGUACGAACGUGAUUUUUGGUCAAAUCUUUCCCAAAAUUUCAAUUUGUGAUAUCAUAAAUGAUAAUGUUGGGAUAUUGCAAGUAUUUUUGUGUCACCUAACAACAAUAGUUGAAAAACACAUUGCCCUUGAUUUCAGAUGCCAAAACUAGAUCAUAAAUUUCAUUUGUAAAUAUGACAAGGCCGUUAAAGAUUUUUAUGGUUUCACAGUCAUAACGGCCCUCCGUGGAGAACCUUAACUACAACAAAAUGCCGUAAUGCAAGCAACUCCAACUAGGACGCUGAUGUGGCAAUAAGCUCCAUUUCAUGUUCUGUGGUUAUGAUCAUAUUUUAAAUAAGUUCAAUUUCCGAAACAGUUUAGUGUUGGAAUUUUUUUGUGAGCUAUAUUAAUGAUUCAAUGGUUAUAAUUGCAUUUUUCCAAAAUGUUCAAUAUCUUGACCUAUGUUUGUCCCAACUUUUUUUUAGCAGGUUCGAUUUCCUGUUCAAUGACGAUCACAUUUUUCAAUAAGUUUAAUUUCCUGUUCUACGUUUAGCAUAAACAUUUUUUUAAAUAAGUUCCAUUACCUGUCUAUG